CCGCUCCUCCCGCCUCGCCACCUCCUCCUCUCCCCUCCCAGCCCCGCCACCGCGCCUCCCUGCCCCGUCGCCACGCCUCUCUCCAAUCCCCGACCCGAGCUCCACCGCAUCCAUACCUGCUCGUCAGCAGCAGGUGGGACCGGCCCGACCGUCCACAGCCUGCGCCGUCCCCGCGGCGUCGCCACCUUCAUCCGCGUGCACUCGGCGAUGGCGCCACCCACUGCGGGCCCUUGGACCGUGCUGCUCGAGCGCGGCAUCGGCUGUCGAUCUGUCUGGAGACGGAGAUGGAGACGUCGCAGCGGAGGCAGAAGCAGACGCUCGAUGCGGCGCUCCCCCGUCCCUCCUGCUCCUGCAUCAGCUGCAGGCGCUCGAUUCGGUGCUCUCCCGUCGCUCCUCCUCUCAAUCGCCGGGAGGGGCGCAUCCUUCUACUUGCGCCGCUGCUCCAGGAGACGAACAAGUUAGGCUCGGACGUUGCUGGCCGACGGUUUGGUCUGAAGAGGAUGCUCCCCUCUCCCUCUGUAAUUAACAGACAAGACAUCAGAAAUGCCUGGUUUCUGCAAGGAUGGUGAUUGGUGAAUAUGAGAGAUGUCCUGAUUGGUCUUCCCACCAGUGGUAUCCAACUCCAUUUGUUUAAAAUUCAUAUAGAUUAUUGAGGUGCUAAUUAUGUUCUCAUAUCAGUGAUGCUUUCCUUUGAUUACAGUUACUAUUUCUGCUUAAUAAAAAAGAAUCUUCUAUAGAGUGUGCUCCACUAGCCAUUAAUUGUUGAAACUGCUUUGUUUUUGUUAGUGGUGCAACAUCUCAUGGUACUUUAUGGCUAUUGGAAUUUUUUAUCUUUCCCUUUACCCUUUGGAAUGGUGAGUACUGAGUAGUAUAUUCAUUCCGACAUCACCUGUACAUUAUCUUUGCAGAAGUUUUGAAUUCUAAGAUACCCAGAUGUUAUGUUCAGUCAGAGAUGUGCAUUGUGAUUUAUGUACUAGCAUAGCUUGUCCAAAGAAAGAGUUACAACUACUGACUCCUAAGUAACACUGCAUAGGAUAUGCGAUUAUUUAGUACGACAUCAGAAAGAUGAAUUUUUUUUUUGGUUUCACACUUUUCUUUGGAAAUAACAAUGUGCUCAUUGAUGUUGCCCAAUUUCCAAUUGAUGGAUAACAUGGCUACUGUCCAAUUUCUUAUUUUCCUUCAUUUUCCCUUGUUCUUGCAAGCUUUAUGAUUACACCUGCAAGGUAGUAGUAGGGAGAUUGUCGCUGAAUUCCAACAUGUAGGAAUAUCUUGCUUCCAAAACUUCAUUUAUCUUUUUGCAAUAUGCCAUUUUCUAUGUAGUUUUGAAGUUUACAGAUCAUGUAUAUUUAUUAUCAUAUCCUGCCCAAAACCUAUGUUGGCAUGGAUCUGCCACCCCCUCCAUUCCGACAAUCAUCUUCAAGUAUUUGGGGCUGGGCCUCGAUGGCUUGAUGCUCGGACCUCGACAGGGAUCUGCACCAUUUUCUCUGCAAGCCGACGUGGAUUCGCCGCCCACUCCCCCCGUCCUACCUCUUUCACAUUCCUUCAGACGGUCUUGAUGCGCAAGGAAGGAGAGGCCUAGGUAGCUGCAGAGCCAACCAAGGAUGCUGGUCAGGCUACCUAGCUCACCAUCAAGUUCCUGAGUCGACAAGCCCACUUCUGAGGCAAAUUGAAGCCAUGCACGUAUUGGUGCUUCAACAGAUUUUUCCUUGUGCAUCAGGGUCAGCUGCUCGAAGGGAAGAACUUGGGCUGGUGUGGAGAGAACCUUGAACUCUCGCCUUCAGAGGCUUACACCGUCGCCUUUCCUCGGGGCUCGGAAGGAGGAGCGCCGUCCGUAGACAAAAGAGGAGGUUGAGACAUCUGAGACGACUACUGCAUCAAAAAGAAAGUUACUGCUGCGUCAACUCAGGCCGCGGAGAUGACGGCACUGGCGCUGGUGCAGUGGUGCUCACGGUGGUCGGUUGCUCCGCUGCCCGACAAGCCGGUGGCCGCGUUGACCUAUGGCCAAUCCCCGCAUCGCUUUAUGUCGCCAGGGACCUGUGGACGGCGGGGCCGCGAUCAACGACAGGAAGGCCAGCCUGGCCGACGCCUUCAGGAGGAUGGUGGCCGUCAUCCAGCUAGACCACGCCAUCAAUGGCAGCUAUGACGGCCUGCCCGUGCUUGCCGGUGUUAAUGUGGCCGUCCGUUCCCCGGACGACAAGGUGCUUAUGUGUUAUUUGUUGACAGGGCGGAUAAAUCAUACAAGCUGACUACCUGCAACCGGGAACCCGAUAUAUGCCCGGAUUAAGGUUAGUAAAAAAUGUUGUACUCAAUAACUGCCUAUCAACUCCUUGACUGCAUAUAUUCUGCUGUUGUGAAUGCAUGAGAAAAAAGGCCUAUUUCUAGCGAGACCCAGACCGAAAAAUGUAUGGCCACACAAAGUUUAAUUAAGACUAUGUAUCCAGAUGAUAUGGCACACAGAUGAACCGGGACUUAUAAAGUGCCCUGUAUCACACAGAUGUAUCCAUGGUGUACAAAAUUAGUACUUAAACAUUGGUGUACAUACAUGAGAAAAAAUAUUGUUGUUUUGUAAAAAUAUUGUGUUCAUGCAUAUCUAUUUUUGAGCCCCUCACUUGCUAACAUGAGUGACAUCUAAGAAUCAAAGUCCACUGAUGAACAAUUAAUUAUAAAAGCACUGUAUAUCCUUUCUCUUGGGGGUUAUUUGUUAGUUUCUCUGAUAUUAACUGUAAAAUGCGUAUUUUCAUCAUUUGACUGAUAGUCUAAUAUUGAACAUAAAUAUUUAUUCUUGGAUGAUAUGUGUGAGUUGUGGACUUCUUGCCCUUUAUCACAAAUAGAUAGAACAUACUUCAGAAUUGAGUUUUCAGGUUGAGUUGCAUAUUAGUUUUUUUAGUUUUCCUUUGUCGGUUUUUCUGGUCCAGCCUAUAAGUUACUUAGUUUGAUUACUGCAUGUACAGUUUGUUUCUGCUUCUGCUUCUAUUUCUACUUUAUUUUUGUAUUUACAUUUGAAUUAUUUCUGCACCUACUUUAUUUCUACUUCUACUAUUUUUCUACACCUACAGUUUUAGUGCUUUAUCUGCUCGUGGAGCUAUGCCUAUGUUGUAUUGGGCUAAAGUUUGAUUGCUUGCAGGGGUAUGUUGAUGUUGAAUACUGGAGUAAGAAUGAUCAUCAAUGCUCUAAUGAACCUGCAUGAUGUAGCAUUACUAUUAGGGUAUAGGGUUAGACACAUACUUUUUUGACAAUGGGUAGACAAGUGUAGUUUUCAAGUGUAGUUCCCAAUUGGUUUAAUUAGUUUUCUUGUGUUGAUUUCA